UAACCAAAUCAUAAGCUAAUGAACAUAGCCAUCAACUCAAAUAGUUGUGAUUUUUGUAGCAAGAACAUUUUUAACUUCUCUUUUAGAAAUUUUGAAAUGUACAAUGCCCUCUUACUGCUGUUUUUAAAAAUAUGUUUUUGUCUGUGGGUAUUUGGCUUACAUGUAAGUCUCUGCAUCACAUGUAUGACUCUGCAGAAGCCAGAAGAAGUCACUGGCUCUCCUGGAACUGGAGGUAUAAACGAUCAUGAGCUGUCAUGUAGGUGCUGGGAACGGAUUCUUGGUGCUCUGGAAGAGCGGCCAGUGCUCUUAACCACUGAGCCAUUUCUCCAGCCUCUACAAUGCUCUUUUAAUAGCUAUAGCCAUCACAUCACACGGGCUGUAUUAAAGCCCUUACUCCCCUGUCUGAGGCUUUGCACCCUGGGCAAUCAUCUCCCUACUUCCUACCUCCAUUGUCUAAAACCAACACUCUGCCUUCUGUUUCCAUUAAUUUGGUGUUUCAGACUCUACAGAUGAGCACUAAUCUACAGUAUUGGUGUCUUAAUAACUGGAGCAUUUCCAUUUUAGCACUGUUAUCCAAAUCCUCCAUUUGUAUUUUUUAAAAUGAAAGAAUGUCUUUCCAUUUGCGGCUGAGUCUAUGACCACACCUACCUAAAUAUGUCCAAUCCCAUCAUUUUUUUAAAAUAGAGAUAAAUUUAGUUAUCACUAUUUGUGUGUGUAUGUGUGUGUGUGUGUGUGUGUGUGUGUGUGUGUGUGUAGGGGGCAUGUGUAUCAAGGCAGGCGUGCAAAGGUCAAAGAGCAAUUUUCAAGAGUCGGUUUUCUCCUUCUAUCAUGGGUUCCAAGGAUCAAGUUUAGAUCAUCUGCGUAGCAAGCACUUUACACACGGGGCCGUCUCGCCAGCUCCAUUGACCUCAUAUGUGAAAGACUGAAUAGUACUCCAUAGUCAGAACACACACACACACAGUCUCAGCAGCACCUAUCUGCUGAUGGACACAUCACUUGAUCCUGUCACUUGGCUACUGUGGUAUAUGGCAGUGAGCAUGGAAGUGUAGAUGUCUCUACUUUGAACUGACCUCAGAUCUCCUGUGUGGAUAUGCAGAAAGGGGUAACUGCAUCUGUGAUUUAAAGGACAGAGAGGGAGGAAGACAAGGCGGGGCGUUUAUGACAGAACGGAAGAGUGGGCUGCUUGGUGCUGCUGCUGGGACACAAUCCAUCACAAACAAGCACAAGGACACUACGGGAUGUGGAUAUGUCCUAAAACUGGAUUACGGUGACUGCUGUACAAAUUAACUAAGCACAUCCAAUCCUUCACUGGCAUUGGAGCCUACGUCUUCAGGAUUCCAGCAUCUACAGAAGACCAGCUGAGACCCCCAGCCUUGUGAGACUGAGCAACUACUGGAUUCUUGGACUUUCCACUCACAGUCAGCCAUUGUUGGACUGCAGCCUUCAAUCUGUCCACAGAACACCUUGACGGAUUUCACUGUUAUCUUUCCAUCAUCAUCGUUAUCUGGCUCAUGUCGUUGUCAUGAAGAACCCAAUACAGAGAGUCUGAUUGCCUCCUCUGCAGUAACCACCACUGAGGCUGUGGUGACAGGAUAAGGAUAAGGAUCUUUCUGAUAAGGAGGAGCCCAGGAGGUGAAAAUGAGGGCAAGUUUGGGGAUUUCACUUCAAUGAAGCCCUUCCCUUUGAAGGGCU